GAAAUGCGAUAAGUAGUGUAAAUUAUAGAAUUUAGUAAAUUAUCGAAUCUUUAAACGCACAUUGCGCCCCUUGGUAUUCUAUAGGGCAUGCCUAUUUAAGCGUUAUUAACACCCUUAAGCUCUGCUUAGUGUUAGGGCGUUAUCACUUCUCCGCCUCUCUAGCGACCACAGCGACACCCCUUAAAGUUAUUAGCGGCCUUUCUGCCUAGCUCCCCGCGCAGCAGUUUCGCGCUUUAGGAGGCCCCUGGGCUAGCUAGCAUCUAUUAAGCUAAUCCUUUUAUACUUAACCUCAGAUUAGGUAGGGACACCCGCUGAACUUAA
rnacentral:misc_RNA from 1 species